GGUUGUGGCUCAGUGAUAGAGUGCUCGCCUCACAUGGUGAGGCACUGGGUUCAAUUCUCAGCACCA
rnacentral:tRNA from 1 species